UACGGAGGGGGCUAGCGCUGUUCGGAAUUACUGGGCGUAAAGCGCACGUAGGCGGCUUUGUAAGUUAGAGGUGAAAGCCCGGGGCUCAACCCCGGAACUGCCUUUAAGACUGCAUCGCUUGAAUCCAGGAGAGGUGAGUGGAAUUCCGAGUGUAGAGGUGAAAUUCGUAGAUAUUCGGAAGAACACCAGUGGCGAAGGCGGCUCACUGGACUGGUAUUGACGCUGAUGUGCGAAAGCGUGGGGAGCAAACAGG
rnacentral:rRNA from 1 species